rnacentral:rRNA from 1 species
UACGUAGGCAGCAAGCGUUGUCCGGAAUCAUUGGGCGUAAAGAGCGUGUAGGCGGCUUGGUAAGUCCGCUGUGAAAGUCCAGGGCUCAACCCUGGAAAGCCGGUGGAAACUGUCAAGCUCGAGUCCGGAAGAGGCGAGUGGAAUUCCUGGUGUAGCGGUGAAAUGCGCAGAUAUCAGGAGGAACACCAAUGGCGAAGGCAGCUCGCUGGGACGGUACUGACGCUGAGACGCGAAAGCGUGGGGAGCAAACAGG